CCCUGUGCAUAAAAUGUGUAUAAAUGCCUUUUUUAAAUGUGUUGCUGAAAUGUUACGCUGGCCCUUUAAGGAACGGGACUGUAAUGCUGCGGGAAGUUUUUUUUGUUUACUUCCUGUGUACAGCGUGGUUCACAACGCAGUUUUAGAGUGCACGUGCAGUGGGGAAUAUAGCCAUCCAACACAAAGAAACACAAAAUAAGAAACUAUAGUGAGAUAUAGUGAAGCUAAAAGCUUUUGAGUGUUUUAUUUUAUUUGGAUGGCUGUGUAUUUUGCUGAUUGACAGCGAUUUCUGUUGAGAUACAUCUCGUGUGGUGUGUAAAUAGCACGAAAUUGAUUCUCAAAGAAGCGUAAGUGUUAACCUAUAAUCUGUAUACAAAGAGUUUUGAGACAAUUUUGUGUAUAAUGUUAUGUGGACCAGUGAUAUUGAAACAUAGUUAUUCUGUUUAAUUAAGAGGGGAGAAAGUGCUUCGUAAGCCUUCUGUGUGUUUCCUGGGGAGUGUGAAGCAUCAGAAGAAAGAACGAGUCUGUCAUAUGCUGUGAUAGUGUGUGCAUGUGUCAGAGGGGUGAUAAAAAGUAAGUUUGAGACAUUGUAUUUUAAUUAAUUUUCUCUAUUAGCUUAUUUUGAAGUUAUUUACUGUGAUGUAACACUGAUGUUUAAGUGUAAGAGAAAGUGUUAUGUGGUGUAAUGAUACUUUUAAUGUUUGAGCUGUAUUAAUCACACAAAAAGAUGUAACAUGUUAUGAAUGACUGUGUUUUCAUGUAUUCUCAUGUUACUCAAGCAGCCUUAUUUAGUCUUCUGUGCAUUCAGGUGUUAUAUUCAUGUGUCUGUUUGUUUUCUAAAAAAGGGCUGCUACCGUUGUCUAUGUUAGCUAGUUAAACAAAGAGAAUUCUGUCUUUUACUAAAAAGAAGGACAUACACAUUGUGAUAAGAGAAGAAAACUUUAUUUUUUUAUUUUAUUUCCACAAACUUUAUUUACAAGCUUUACCUUUCCAUCUCUGCAACUCCAAAGUUUGCAAAAUUAACGCUGCACCGCCUAACGUGCAGUCUGAAAUAAAAGAUCCCCGUUUAAAUUUUA